CAGCAAAUGCUAAUGAUGCUGUUGGUGCUGGGAUGGCUGAAUUUGGAUUGGCUAAGCCUGUGCAAGUUGAGUCUUCUGGUGCCGUACAGGAGAAUCUUGCCGCUCCAUCCUCAGAUAUUCUUCAUUCAGCUACAGCUAAUGCUAAUGAUGCUGUUGGUGCUGAGAUGGCUGAGUUUAGCUUGGUUAAGCCUGUGCAAGUUGAGUCUUCCGGUGCAGCACAGGAGAACCUUGCCGCUCCAUCCUCAGAUUUGCUCCAUUCAGCUGCAGCAAAUGCUAAUGAUGCUGCUAGUGCUGAGAUUGCUGAAUUUGGAUUGGCUAAGCCUGUGCAAGUUGAGUCUUCUGGUGCUGUAGCUCCACCCUCGGAUUUUCUCCAUUCAGCUGCAGUAAAUGCUAAUGACACUGUUGGUGCUGAGAUGUCUGAAUAUAGAUUGACUAAUCCUGUGCAAGUUGAGUCUUCUGGUGCUGUACCGGAGAAUUUUGCUGCUCCACCCUCAGAUUUUUUCCAUCCAGCUGCAGCACAU
rnacentral:lncRNA from 1 species